CUACACUCACACAGAGGUAUACAUUCACAGUUACACACUGCCAUACAUUUAUAGAAACAGAUACACACUGCCACAAACAUAUACACAGCACAUACAAACAGAUACACACACAUAUACACAAACAGAUACACACUGCCACACACACUUCGACACACUUAUACACAGCACAUGUACGCAAACAGAUACACACUGCAGAUACAUAGAGCCAUACACACUGCCACACAUAUACAAGGACUGGCGCACACACAUUAAACUAGGAUUUAGCCACCCUCCUCUUUGCCUUCUUCUGUGCUGGAGAAGGGUGGCAUCCUGUAGUCCAGUGGGGCAGACAGUAAGUCUUCCCUUCUUGCCACGCGGCAGUUCAAGUGCACCUCUUAGGUGAGUCCUACACUAACAAUCUCUAAUGAGUCAGAAAAGGGUAUUCUUGUAAAUCUACACACUUAUUACCCCUUAUUAGGACACAGAUGGGGUGGGUUGCAGCUCUGUAACGUGGCUGUUUGGUUUGCUUUUUCUUUGAAAGCAAUAAGGUGAAUUCCAG